UACGAAGGGGGCUAGCGUUGCUCGGAAUCACUGGGCGUAAAGGGUGCGUAGGCGGGUUUUUAAGUCAGAGGUGAAAUCCUGGAGCUCAACUCCAGAACUGCCUUUGAUACUGAAGAUCUUGAGUUCGGGAGAGGUGAGUGGAACUGCGAGUGUAGAGGUGAAAUUCGUAGAUAUUCGCAAGAACACCAGUGGCGAAGGCGACUCACUGGACGAUUGUUGACGCUGAGGUGCGAAAGCGUGGGGAGCAAACAGGG
rnacentral:rRNA from 1 species